GUUAUUGUUUAAUUAUGGAGUAUUUGAUGGAAAGAAACACAUGCAUCUUCAAAAAUCAAAGCUUGUCUUUUAACUUGUAGGGAGACAAGGUGAUGUUUUUGUGCUUUUGUGCAGGCAUACACUGCUAAAGCUUUUAAGGGGGUUUCUUUUAGAAUAAUCCCACUAGAUUGGAGGAUAUUACUUUUUACUUAAUUUUUCAUGCUAUUUUCUUAGUUUUUUAGAAGGAUCCCCCCUCCUCCAUGGGUGAGUACACUUUCAAUCUUUCUCAAUAAAAUCUCUUCUUAUAAAAUAGGGGGAGAGAUUUCUUGGCAAAUGAAAGAAUACAUUUCCCUUUUUUUCUAAUUGAAAUCCAUGUUCUCUAAAUUGUAAAAAUGAUUUUGUCUCAAUAGCAAAAGGAUCACCCAAAGGCUAAUCUUAGUUCUACGAGUGAAGGGUGAAGGAGUUCUACGUGAUCAUAUAAAGUGGUGAAUUAGAGUUUGAGAAUACGAAAUGGGAAUCAUUAAAAUUUGAUGCGCAAUUGUAGGCACAUAUACUGGAAAGAGAAGAACAAAGAGGCAAAAAGAGAUUGAGAAAAUGGCGAAGGGUGUAAUAUUAUUCUAUCUGUUCACUGUCGAAAAGAUCACAAAUCUACUUAUAGGCUUAAAGCCCAACAACAUAUCAUAAAUGGUAAAGUAAAUAAUUUUGAACACAUAACAAACACAAGUUGAAUUAUGAUUGAGAACAAAAAUUUUAGCUCGUAAAUAAAUAUCUUGAAUAAAAACCGACUUAACUCGAAUGAAAAGGCAGCACAAACUAAAAAUUGAAUUAACACUAGUCAAUUUACUAGUUAGAAAAUUUCUUCCAUCCACAAACAUGCCUGGAACAUACAAAGUCAUUAAUCAAGUUUAGGUAAUUUGAUUUUGUGUCCAAUUAAUUGGUAUUUAAUAUUUCCCACAAUGAAAAAAUCCUAUAUAUCAUUCAACUGGCAAAAUUUCCUUUGAGAUUAUUCAUGAUUAUCAGCUUGUCUUGUAUCCCUCUUCCCUAAUAUUGUUUGCCUCAACCAGCUGAAUCUUUUGCCCAACAUACAUGACAGGUACUCAUGCUAAAAUUAGGUGAAAGUUGUCCAUGAUCACGCACAAGAUAAGGCUUAAGAAUUUAGCAUAGAAUAAUAAGAUUAUCACAUCUUCAUCUUCAAGAAUAUCAUAAACAUUCUUUCAAAGGAAUGCAUGCUCAAGUCAUUGGCCCAUUCUUUAGCAUUUGAGAAACUGGACCAAAAAUGUAUUUACUUCAUUUUACCCAAUUGUAUAGAUAGUUUAGGAUUUAUUAGAUUCUGAAUCAAACCCCAUGUAUCAUCUUGGGGGGAAAUCCCAAAGAUACCAAUAAGUUCAGCUUACAUUAACAAACCAGCACAGAUUUCUCUAUUGAUUAUUUCCUUGCAUUUCAAAAUUUGCAACUUGCAUAUAAUUUUGAAGCUAACCUCAAGUGAAUCUCUCAAUCAGAUUAAUUUAAAUGCUAAUAUCAACUUUGAUUUUGACAGAACUAAACUACAAGGCUCACAAUGUUUAGUUACAAGUUUUACACCCAUAAUAUAUUCCCAGCCAAUCUAAAACAAAAUUAUGCAAAAUAAAUAUCAUAUUAAAGUUCAUCAUAUGAGACAACCCAAUAUUAACAGGUAGCAAUAGCAACAACUCCACAAUGAAGACAAACAUGAGUUUGAAUAAUUCAACCAUAAAUUUCAAUUUUGCAGAACAGUCAUCUCUUAAAAUUUUCAACCAAUUUUGGCCAUAUCCAAAGUUAUGACUAAAAACCAAUUUCCUUGAAUAGUUUCGUCUCUCUAAAAAAAAGAUCAUGAUAUUUGAUUUUUUUUUCAUAUAGUUGUUGAUAAUGAGCAUUCAAAGAAAUUGUGUAUGUAUCAUAUUUUACACUUUAAAUGAACAUGAUGAACUCAUUUAUUAUGUGUAGCAUUUGAGCAGACAUAUUUUCAAGUGAUAAUUUCAACAUCACGUUUGCAAACUUGUAUGCAUGAGAUGUACCUGUUACAAAAGGUGGAUCAGGGU
rnacentral:misc_RNA from 1 species